CGGAAAUAUCUUCCGGGAUUAAAACAGACAGAAGAGCUCCCCUUUAUAUGUAUACGCACCUAGACCCCUCUCUGUAGUGAAGCAGUCCACAAGGACCACGGAACUGCAGUGCACACACACACAAAACCCCAAACCAACCACACAACCCCAAACCCACAGAGCAGCAAAUGGAUCUUUGAAAAAGUAAAUACUGCAUGUGACAAAAAACCUCGGUGAUUUUGUUUUCUCAUGCCCUUACUUCUAAACCAGCUGCACAGCCAAGCUCAGGCUGCUUGGCCCUUAUAACUAUCUUGGCACCGAGUCAAAAGCUGAUAAGCAUUUGGGCGAGACAGCUCAACUGCUGUGCUGGAAGAAAAACAGCUGCCAUGAUUGCUGUUUGAUUGAGAGCGCUUACACACACUCACAAAAAAACAUAUCGGGCUGCAAAGACGGGCCACAAAUGCCUGAGGAUUCAGCUUCAGAGGAUCAACACACAUUUCCUUUUUUUUUAAAAAAAAAAAAGUUUUUAUAUAGUUUCUCCUCUGUUCCCCCUCCCCUCUUUUAAAGAAAACGUACUGUGUAGACUUGCUUUUCUUCUUCCCAUCCCCCUCCAUAACCUCAAGCAAACUCAAGGAAUUGUGCCAAAAGUCCCGUUGCUAGUUACCAAGUGCAUUUUUUCAAACGUCCCUUUGAUACUUCUUUCUCUCAUGCUUGCCAUGGAAUAUGCAAGGGCAAAAGGAGGGAAAUGAGGGGGAGAAGGAUGUUUUUUCUCUUUGCCGACUCUAACAUUUGGCUUUUUCCAUUUGUGGCAGAUCACUGUAACGCUAUUGUAAAACAACUUCCUGCCCCUUUUGGCUCACGUUCCAGAAGCUGCUAGGCUAAGUUCAUAGCACAAACUUUUUUCCCCCUUGCCGAAGAAGAGAGACAAAAAAAAAAAAAAUCCCUGCAAAUUAUUUCCCCCUCCAUUCUCUGGCUAAUGGACUCACAAGGUGAAUUUAUUGCAGCUCUUUAAGAAUGUUACACAAGAGACGUCGGUAUCCCAGCUGGAUAAUUCAUAAGCUGAAAAGCAACAGCAUUUCUUGGUACGCCUGCUUUGGCAUACAUCAGCAUUUCUACCCGUCCAAGUGUCCUUUUGCGUCACAUCUCGCCAUUUCAUUCAACCAAUGAAAUCUCCUUCUUGCAAUAAAAAUAUAUAUACUUUUUCUGUUA